UAAAAGAAAAACUUAAAUAGAAAAAGAAAAGAUUAAGAAGAUGACCGGUGAAUCGAUAAAGUAAUAUCUUUCUUUUAUUUAUAAACAUUUGAGGAAGGGAUUACAUUAAUUCCUAGACUAAAUGUUUAAGGGGGAAGAUCGAAGUAUUAAGGACUUCGUCUUCAUCUUUAACUAAGAAGAUCGAAGCUGAAAGCUUCGUCUCCGGCUAACUCUAGAGAGAAGAGAGAGGACCUCGGAAGAGCUUUCUAGAGAGAGAAGCUCUGAGGCUACAUUAAAUUAAGCCUAAACAACUCUAAACACUUUGAGUUGUUUAAAUAGAAAACUGAAAAGUAAAUUACUAUUUGAUUCACGCAGGAAUCACUAUUACAUUAACUGAAGUAAAAGUAAUUUACUAAAGUAAAAGUAAAACGUAAGAAACAUUUUACAUUUACUUUUACAUUGGUAAAUGUAAGAAACAUUUAACUAAAGUUACAAACAUUUAACUUAAGUAAAAGCAAAAGUUAUUCUUUUACUUUUACUUUUAUAUUUACUAAAGUAAAAGGCUUUUGUUUUACAGAAAGCAAAAGCUGAGAUGAUGGCUGGGCCAUCACCUGUCUGUGACUUGAAGAUGCCUCUGGCGUCUUCUUCGUUGACUGGUCUGUCUCUUGUGGAUGCCGGAAGGUGCUAUUGAUCAUCUUCUCAGAUGAGUCACCAUCCCCAUACAUUUCCACCUUAAAAUUUUUAUCUAGAAAAUAACCCUUUCACCCCCAAUAAUUUGGUUUAUAAAAAAGGAGGAAAUUUUUUUUUUUUACCAAAAAUUGGUCAAAAUCUUCAAAAUUUGUUGGAUUUUGUAAAAAAAAUUUGUUUAAAAACAAAUCAGACUGAAAUCUAAAACAAAAGAUCACUCGAUUGGUCCUGAUCUAACAGUAAAUCGAUUUAAACAGAAGACAUAUUUGUUAACUGUUUAAACAAAAAUUCUUUCUCUUGAAGGUCCACUUAGACUCAAACCUUACUUGCCUUGAACACAUAAUUCCCUUUAGCCUUACACUGCACCCAAUUGAGACUUACAAACGGCAUUAUUCGGGACUUAAGGCGAUCUUGGGUUGUUUACGGCGAAGGUCGGGCGAUUAAAAGCGGAGCAAGAAAAAUAAAAGUUUGAAAAAACAUUUAAGUAAACAAAUCAAACUGUUUUCAAUCGAAACCACUGAUAGCAUCAAGAACCAACCGUGUGGCUCUGAUACCAUAUAACAGCGAGAUAAGUUUUUAAAAGAAAAACUUAAAUAGAAAAAGAAAAGAUUAAGAAGAUGACCGGUGAAUCGAUAAAGUAAUCUCUUUCUUUUAUUUAUAAACAUUUGAGGAAUGGAUUACAUUAAUUCCUAGACUAAAUGUUUAAGGGGGAAGAUCGAAGUAUUAAGGACUUCGUCUUCAUCUUUAACUAAGAAGGUCGAAGCUGAAAGCUUCGUCUCCGACUAACUCUAGAGAGAAGGGAGAGGACCUCGGAAGAGCUUUCUAGAGAGAGAAGCUCUGAGGCUACAUUGAAUUAAGCCUAAACAACUCUAAACACUUCGAGUUGUUUAAAUAUAAAACUAAAAAGUAAAUUACUAUUUGAUUCACGCAGGAAUCCCUAUUACAUUAACUGAA
rnacentral:lncRNA from 1 species